UCUCUCUCUCUCUCUCUCUCUCUGGCUCUCUCUCUCGCUCUCUCUGUCUCUCUCUUUCUCUGUCUCUCUCUCUCUUUCUCUCUCUCGCUCUCUCUCUGUCUCUCUCUUUCUCUCUCUCUCUCUCUCUCUGUCUCUCUCUCUCUGUCUCUCUCUGUCUCUCUCUCUUUCUCUGUCUUGCUCUCUCUCUGUCUCUGUCUCUGUCUCUCUCUCUGUCUCUCUCUGUCUCUCUCUCUCUCUCUCUCUCUCUCUCUCUCUCUCUCUCAGUUCUCGAUGCUGGUUUGGAACUAAACCGUUGUAAAAAAAAGCGCCACGUUUCUCUCGAGCUCGACUGAACUUGGACGAGGCACUUAUCCAAAAGGUCACGUUAAUGACAGCUCAUCAAACGAAGCGUUUAGGAGCGUGCCGGCUGUUCCUGGAUCCGUUAAAGCUUUUUUUUUUUUUUUUUUGGAUAACAAUCUGCCCACAGAUCAGCAAUCCUGAUUCCGUCGUGUGAAUGAAAGGCCAUAUGUGCAGUCUGGAGAAGUGUUUAAAGGAAAUUAAAGAUCCGGGAAAGAACGGAGACGAUGAUGAACCUCAGGGUCUCGGCUAUGUCUCACUUCACUGAGUAAUUAUUAAAACAUGCUGCUUACACACACGGCGUGACCGGAGCGUGCUCGCGUGUCUGUGUGUGUGUGUGUGUGUGUGUGUGUAUGUCUGAGUGUGUGUCUGAGUGUGUCAUGACUGAUUCAGAAGUGGCUUUCAGAAGUUUAGUUUUGUUUUAAUCAUCAUUGCUUAUCCCAGGAGGGGUUUGGGGUUGAAACGAUUGAAAUGAUUUUGUGUGUGUUGGUGAAGGGCAGGGUCACCGGCCAGGCAGCUGUCCCAUGAGGAUGGGGACACCUAUCAGGUAGCUCAUCAGGGCGUGGCCCAAUCAGUCCAUCAGGGCAUGGCUACAUCUUAAUCAGUCCUUCAGGGCGGGGCUACAGCUUAAUCAGUCCAUCAGGGCGGGGCUACAGCUUAAUCAGUCCAUCAGACUGUGACCACAGAUUAAUCAGUCCAUCAGGGCGUGGCUAAAGAUGAAUCAGUCUGUCAGGGUGUGGCUACAGCUUAAUCAGUCUAUUGGGGCGUGGCUACAGAUUAAUCAGUCUAUCAGGGUGUGACUACAGCUUAAUCAGUCUAUCAGGGCGUGGCUACAGAUUAAUCAUAAACCAUAAUGAACUUUCUUUCACUCUCACACUAUCCGUCGUUACCCAGACGAAGACGGGUUUCCUCCUGAGUCCGGUUCCUCUCAAGGUUUCUUCCUCAUAUCAUCUCAGGGAGUUUUUCCUCACCACCGUCACCACCGUCUCGCUCAAUAGGGAUAAACUCCAUCCAUCCAUCCAUCCAUCCACACUUACAAUCUCUAUCCUGUGUUUAUAUAUUUCUGUAAAGCUGCUUUAAGACAACGUCCUUUGUAAAAAGCACUACACAAAUAAAACUGAAUUGAAUUGAAUCAGAAUCUGUAGUGUACUAAUUAAAUAUUUGAAUAAAUAUUAAUUAUGUAUCACUUUGGUUAUUAUAAGAACCUAAAGGGGAUAGGUGUUAGAUAUAGAUGUUUACCGAAGUAGAAAUAAUUGACAUGCUAAUUUAUACGUUAACUGAUAAUCCAGAUGAUAGCUCCCAGUUCAUUUAUAUGAUCGUUUCCUUUACAUUGUAGAUCUUGGAUUUAGUUUUAAUCGUGAUUUAAAGUCCCGCCGUUAAUCUCGUUAUGAUUCGGGUUUAUGCUCGAAAUCAUUUUAUCGUGUCAAACAGAGAUCUCAUGGCUGUAGCAGACGUGUGCCAUAUAUCUUCCAGUAGGAGGUCUGCGGUAGUUCAUUCCAUUUGGAAACCCCGUCUCUCUGCUAUUAAACUGAUUCUGGGACCUUCUGUGGAAAGCGUGGUGGAGCUUCUGGAUCUUUUCCAGCUCGUAAAACUGGAGAAAGUGUGGAGCAGUGACUUUUAAGGCAGGUGAUUCAGUCGUUGUCCCAUGCUGUGGAGAGAGAUUUCCUCCAGCUCGUAAAAAGAGAGUGAUGAAAGGAAGGAGAGGUGCGGUGAGGAAAGGUGACGAGGUGUCAGGUGGGCCAGCACCUGCAGGGAAAACUUAGGAAAGUUCAAUUCAGUAGUUAGGAACGUUCGAAAUUGUCAUAAUAUUUCCAAAAAGUGGUUGAUUACCCUAAUGUGUUCACCUGUUCUGUGUUAAGCCUUUCAUUAGAUCAUCCAAAUCCAUCGUUCCCUUCCUGUUCUUUGACCUACACGAUGGACUACAAUGUUGAUUUGUGGACUCGCCCAAACACGCACUCGCGUCCUGCCUCUACCCGCACGAUACAGGAAUGCGUCAAUUUUCUAUCGUAUUAAAUUUAAUUGUGCUGUGAGUGUUUAAUUACAGUCCCCUGUGGGCGUGACAGCAGUAAAAGUUAAUGUCGUGCUUCUUGAGAGUACACUGUACAUGUUUUUGCUUCUGCUUCUCGUUGGGGCUUUUUCUUUUGUCUUUCCUUUUUUUUGUCCGCUGGUUACUGGUCAUGACGGUGAGCGUGAGCGGCAGAUUUCCCCGGGUGUAAUUCGUGUAUGCCUGGAUCGAGUGCAGCAGCUGAUCUAUUCUGUUGUACUGUUACUUGCAUCAAUGGCAGGGAUUUUGGUGCUAUGGUUCUGAGCCGUCUCGUGGCUCGGCCCUCUGCUCAUCUGUCCGUGCUUGCUUUGUGAAGCUCUUGUGGAUUCUGGGGAUAAAUGGAUCAUUCCAUGGAUCAGAGCGGUGGUUCCCGGUGGUGCCUGGUGAUGUCCAGUGGUGCCCAUUAGUGUGCAGUGAUGCCCAGUGUUGCCUGUUGGUGCCCAGUGUUGCUGUUGGUGUCCAGUGAUGCCUGCUUGUGUCCAGUGGUGCCCAGUGUUGCCUCUUGGUGUCCAAUGAUGCCUGUUGGUGUCCAGUGAUGCCCAGUGUUGCCUGUUGGUGUCCAGUGUUGCCUGCUGGUGUCCAGUGUUGUCUGUUGGUGUCCAGUGGUGUCCAGUGUUGCCUGCUGGUGUCCAGUGAUGCCUGCUGGUGUCCAGUGAUGCCUGCUGGUGUCCAGUGUUGUCUGUUGGUGUCCAGUGUUGUCUGUUGGAGUCCAGUGUUACCUGUUGGUGUCCAGUGGUGUCUGUUGGUGUCCAGUGGUGCCCAGUGGUGCCUGUUGGUGUCCAGUGUUGUCUGUUGGUGUCCAGUGAUGUGCAGUGUUGCCUGUUGGUGUCCAGUGUUGUCUGUUGGUGUCCAGUGGUGCCCAGUGGUGCCUGUUGGUGUCCAGUGUUGUCUGUUGGUGUCCAGUGGUGCCCAGUGUUGCCUGUUGGUGUCCAGUGAUGUGCGGUGUUGCCUGUUGGUGUCCAGUGUUGUCUGUUGGUGUCCAGUGAUGUGCAGUGUUGCCUGUUGGUGUCCAGUGUUGUUUGUUGGUGUCUAGUGAUGCCCAGUGUUGCCUGUUGGUGUCCAUUAUUGCCUGUUGGUUUCUAAUGAUGCCCAGUGGUGCCCAGUGUUGUCUGUUGGUGUCCAGUGAUGCCUGGUGGUGUCCAGUGAAAUUAUUGCACAUGUACUGUAUUUUAUUGAUACAAAUGCAAACGUAAGCCAUAAAGGAAAGCUGUACCAUUUGAUUUGUUUAAUUCUAUAUCUAAUUGUUGAGCUGAAGGUUUUUCUGUGGUUGUUAUUCUGAGAGGGAUUUCAUUGUAACUAAUAUGAAUGCUGGCACACACACUUCACUUACUGUACACUGUAAUAUAGAUUAUGUGUGUGUGUGUGUGUGUGUGUGUGUGUGUGUGUGUGUGUGCGUGCGGUGAGGUCUGGCUUUACAUUUCCAGCUGAAUCAUAGCGUUUACUGCUCCUGAGGUUUGGUUUGCCCCGUGUGGUAAAAGCAAAGUUCAGCCUUCAAACGCUUUAGUGGAAAUUCUUGGCAUGUUUUGAAGCCUGGAGAGAGAGAGAGAGAGAGAGAGAGAGAGGAGAGAGAGAGAGAGAGGAGAGAAAACAACAUCUGAUUUUUAUCUUAAUGACGGUCCAAAAAACUCCAUGUGAGCGUUUAUCCAGACCCGGUCGUGGAGAAGCAGAGAAGGUAAAACAUUCCUCAGAUUCCUCGGUGUGGAGAUCCAGUCUCUGUCGGCGCUUUACAUCUCACCUCACUGCGGUUAAUUAUAUUUCUGUUGUUGAUUAGAGUUUUAUAAGAUUAUAUUCAGCAUACAAGGAUCAUCAGAGGCCUUGUUUUUCACCGGGUUUUCCAUUGUACAUUCCCACCUCGAGAGUGUUCCUGCUAUCUCUAAUGUUAAAUAAACAUGGGAGCACAAGACUUCUAUGCUUCUGCUUUUAUAUAUAUAUAAAACUUUGUUUUUUAAAGCUAAAACUUUAUGUUUUGCUUGUAAAUACAACUACAGAAUGCCAUUUUGGGCCAAACUUAAACACAAAUAAAGCACUUGUAAUUCGCGGUGCGAGAGUCAAAUAUGCAGAUGACGUCAGACGAUCAGUUA
ensembl:lncRNA